UAACGCGUAUGCAACCUACCUUCAACAGAGGAAUAGCCCCGAGAAAUCGGGAUUAAUACUUCAUAAUAAUAAGUUUUGGCAUCAUUACUUAUUUAAAGCUCCGGCGGUUGAAGAUGGGCAUGCGUGACAUUAGAUAGUUGGUGAGGUAACGGCUCACCAAGUCUUCGAUGUCUAGGGGUUCUGAGAGGAUUAUCCCCCACACUGGUACUGAGACACGGACCAGACUCC
rnacentral:rRNA from 1 species